rnacentral:rRNA from 1 species
UACGUAGGGUGCAAGCGUUGUCCGGAAUUAUUGGGCGUAAAGAGCGUGUAGGCGGCCCGAUUAGUCCGCUGUGAAAGUCCAUGGCUCAACCCUGGAAUGCCGGUGGAUACUGUCGGGCUAGAGUCCGGAAGGGGCGAGUGGAAUUCCUGGUGUAGCGGUGAAAUGCGCAGAUAUCAGGAGGAACACCAAUGGCGAAGGCAGCUCGCUGGGACGUGACUGACGCUGAGACGCGAAAGCGUGGGGAGCAAACAGG